GCCGCGUUGGCGUAGUGGUAGCGCGUCUCACUUGUACGUUUAGAUGCAAUGAGAAGGUCAUUCGUUCAAUCCGGGUACGUGGCA